GCCGCCCAGUGGCUUUGUUUCAAGUGGAAGUCCGCGUGCUUUGAUACCCUCAGGGGGCACUUACAGGCUAGAUGGACACAGGGCUAGGGGAUAAGAAUGCAGCAGUGAACAUGGUUCCUGCAGUCAUGAAGCAAAUGUAUCCACUGUGAUACAAAAGAGACUGUAAAAAACAAACCCAAAUGGACAACAGGAAAAGACAGAAGCUGAUUGAGGUCCCAGCUUGGUAACAGUUUGAAGAGUUGCAGGACUGGCUGGAUGAGUACUGGCUGCAGCAAGUCAUGCUGCCAGGAUUCUUUAUGGCUGUUUCUGCUUCCACUACAGCUGAGUCAGAAAGGUCGCUGCCCAGUGGUGGCAGUAGAUGCAGUGGACCUGGCAAGCAAAUGUUUCCGCUAUUAGCUCUCAGCAACAGAGACUCAUUUAUGGUCACCUUGGAAAUCUGGGCUUAUCGAUCUACAGCCCAAGUCUGCUGAGAAGCUGGAGCUUACUAAAGGGGAAACCUGAGAGCUGUUCAAGCCCCAAACAUUUUCCACUUCUGCGUCACCUCUGCUGUCUGUUAGCAGAGUGGAGGAGAAAAUACACCAGCACAAACAACGUGAAAAAAUACUCUAUUCAUUAAAAGCUGUAACUUCCAGACUGGACUUGAGAAGCAAUUAAGCAACAGAGGCACCUCAUCUACUAUCUGUAUUCAGGCAUGCUCAUGAGAACAUGCUGCUCCAGCUGG
rnacentral:antisense_RNA from 1 species